CCCCCUCCUCUACCUUCCCUCUGUUCAGGUGCACUGUGUCCCCACAGCUGAUGAGUCACUCACAGCUGGGAGUCUGGAUAAAAGUGUUCUUAGAACAGAGGGAGGGGCUUGGGAGCAGAAGAGGGUACCUCACCUGUGCCAGAGGGUAGGAAACGAACUCCUGGAGCGGCUGAGCAGCUGGAACCUCUCACAGGUGGCAGGGGACCGGGCAGGCAUUGCCCCAGGGCCUCAGGGAGCCUGGCAGCUCCACCCUGGCAAUCUCACGCCUCCUCUCAGUGCCCCACUGAGCGUCAGCUCUGCUUCAGGUGCUGACCUACGUGUUGGAAACGCGAAGGGGAGCGGGACACGGUCCUCCACCCUGAAGAACUCAUGAUUUGGAGGACACAGAUGUGACUAGGGACAAGUGAGAUAAGCGGACGAAGUCUUCAGUAUUCAGGGGCGCUGGAUCCUGUGCCAACCCGGCAGGUGAGAAAAGACACCUGUGGGGGGUCACCUGUGGGCCGCAUCUCAGAGAUGGGACCGCUUUGCUGAAGAAGCGGGGCGGGGAUCGCGCUCCUGGCAGAUGGGCUGUGCGCACCCUGGCGCGAGGUGUAGAGGCUCGGCCUGGUUGGAGCCAAGGCCAGGACCGUGUUUUGGUUUGGGAGGAGUGUGGGGAAGUCUGGGGGUGACACAUGAAAUGGAGAAAUGAGCAGGGUGGUUCAGAAUGCCUGGAAAGAUCACCCCGAGGCCAGGGACACCACUGUAGGUUCCCAAAGGGCAGCGGAGCCAUCGGGUUUGGGUUUUCCAAAGAUCUCUGCUUGCACGCACUUCUGCUUUUUUCGGGAUGACGCUGCCUGGGAAAUCUGGUACGAAGAGAGAGGCGGUAAAUGUUUCCAGGAAAUAAAAAGUCCUCUGCUGCGCAUGCGUGUCUCUUGGUGUGUCCGGCUAUAAAUAGACACAGCGCUGGGCCAGACACUCCCCCAGCGCCCGAGGGCAACUUGCUCACACUCGGAGCUGCCUCUGCCCCUCCUCUACUCCUCCUGGCCAGGCUCAGCCCCAGCAGCCCUUUCAUCACCCAGCAGGCAGGGCCCAGGGUUGGCACCAGGACUGUCUGCUCUGCCGUAGCAGAUUCCCCUUAGCACACAAAGCCAGCGCAACGCUGCAGCCGGAAGGGUGCGCCUUUGGCCAAAGGGGAAACGUGGUGGCUGAACCCAAGCUGAGCGUGAACUGACCCCUCCGUGGGGUGGGAAGGGGAAGUUGGCUUGAAGAUGUGACUCACAGCCAGUGGUUCAUAGACCAUCCCGAUCAGAAGCAGUGAAUGGAUGAGAUGAUAACUCUCUUCCCCUCCAACUCCGGGAUCCUUCGGGACAGAUCAGUGGAAGGAGAGAGACAAAAGAACAGAAAACACACACAUGUGCACGUGUGUCCAUACACAUGGGCCCGCUUGGCUCAACGAGUGGGUCACCACACUGAUCCAAGGGUCACAACAGACCUGGUCCCAAUGUCUUCAGGAAGCUCUCCCAGGUCCCUGCUUGUGAAGCGGCUCUUGCCCACCAUGGGCUCCAGCAGUAGUUCACUUACAAAGUCUCGUCAUGGACACACCACAGCUAUGUGGACAAAUCUGUGAAUUUGACUCUUUUGGAACCCUGCCCGGCUGUCAGGAUUACAGUUAUCAUUUAUGAAUCCCUCCAGGUGUUGGGCAAGGCUUCAGACACUCCACAAGUUUCAUCUAUAAUUCUCUCUUGCUGGGUGUGUGCUGUAUGCCUAUAGUUCCAGCUACUCAGGAGGGAGGCUGAGUCAGGAGCUUUGCCUGUGCCCAGAAGUUUUGAGUCCAGCCUCAACAGAGUGAGACCUCACCACCACCUUAACAAACAAAAUUGGUUCAACUGUAACCCUCUCUAGACUCCCAUGGGUGUGUGCCCCAGUUGAUAGGUGAAGAAGGUAGUUCCACAAGGGUAAGAAAUGCCCCAGGAUCACAUAUAGUAGCUCAUGAUCCCAGGUCCCCUGUAUUUGGAAAUCUGUCUUCUUGGAGGGCAUGUGGUUGAGGCACACCGUGUCUUCAAAUCUACUCAAAGGAUGGCUCCACCACAUUGCAGUCUCUCCUCCUCCUUCCCCUUGACAUGACAGUGAUACUAAAAUUGUAGCCCAAUGAGUUGUCUGGGCACUUAACUGUGCAGAGACAAUGCAAUAAGGGCCAGGGAACAGCAAGGGCUAGUUGCCAAGGCUGGCCUCAAAUUUGCAGUCCUCUUAUCUCAGCCUCCAGUCACUGGGUUUACAGACCUGCAUCAUUGUGCCCCACAUGGCAGGGACCUAUGAGGGGACCCGGCACUGACUGGGGCAAGGAAAGUCUACUUGUAGUGGGUGGUCACUGUAAAAUGGUCACCUGUAGGGACAGGGAAGUCACCCAGCUGCCUGUAACUGGUAAGAGCUGCCACUAGAUUUUGUAUCUGCCCCCACCUGGUUGUGAUAUCUGGGCACCUGCAUCGUCUCUUGCUCCUCCCUGUGGCUCUCAGGUCAUUCUAUGAUUUAUUUCCGGGUAAAGAAGGUGGCACUUGAGGGUUGCCAGAGACUUGGUUUGGGAACCAGGAGAGGUAAGAGUCAAGCCAGGUGGGCUCCUAAGCUGCCCUUUCCCUGGUGUUUCUUGCACAUUGCACGCCUCUGGGCCCUGUCUGACAGGUUGAGCAAUCCUUUGGGGGAAAGCUGGCUCCUUUCCUCUGGCUCUGCGUCGCCAGGACUCACAGGAGGGAAUGGGUGGCUUGAGCAGAUCCUGGCACUACAGCUGGGGUGAGCGCAGCGGGGCGAAGCCCUGGGUUCAGUCCUGGGUUCAGUCCUGCAAGAGAAAAAAGAAGGAGACAAUCCCAACGCCAGCCUUCUGGACAGAACUGCACUCCCUCUAAAGGAUCACAGUAGCAUUGUCUGCCCGCCUACCUCCUGUGUGUUUGGGUAGGGUAAGCUCGGCCUCCAGAUGUUAACCAACUUGGGUGACCUGAGCUAAAAUAAACAAAAACAAGCUCUCGACCUGUCAAACCAAGACGGGCCCUGUUGUGUUUACCAGGGUUUGCCCAAGGGAGUUGGGGCAGGAGAAGGGGCAGAGGCUACCUAAAAGACCAGUUGAGGUUGGAACUGGGGAAGUAGAAUCUCAAGUCCUGGCUGUGUGUCCUGGGGUAUGGACACCAAGUCUAGCCAAGCAGUCCAGAAGAAUAGUGGACCCACUGAUAUGGAGGAGAAGUUGAGGAACCCACCCAAGAGAGUAGCACUGAACUCCCCACAGGCUAAGAGGUGGGAUGCCCUCAGAAAGAGCUGUGAAGACACCUGUGAGUGUGACCUUGGAAACUGCUGAGAGGAGCUCCGCUGGCUUCAGAGACCCUGGAGCAAGUAGCAAGCAAAGCACAGAUGGAACCGGAAGCCUCUUCUUUCCCCAUCUUCUGCUGCCCUCUACAGACAGUUUCAUGUUGUGCCAGAUGGCAAGGGGAGCAUAGGCCCAGCACCCAUCAAGGGUGGACUGGGCACUGCCACGCAACAGAUGAUUAACUGUGCAGGAUGCUGGUGGACGGCACUGGUGGAGAGAGCUCUUUCAUAAACACUUUUUGAAAAUGUUUGCUUGAAGGACUAGUCCUGCCCGUUGAGAAAUUAUUCAAAACAAAGAACUCAACGGAAAAAAAAAUUAAGUGUAAAAGAAAAAGCAAAGAACAAUUAAAUCAAUAAAUAAUGCAAACUAAA